UCUUCUUAUCUUGCUUUCUGAUCUUUGAUUGCUGAUCCUGAUCCCUUGAUUCAAUGUCAGGAUCAAAGAUAAGUGAUAAUUAACAUAAAUGAGUAUCAAACAAAAGACCAGGAUAAAAGGUCAGUGAUCAGGAUUAUAGUUAAAUAAUCUAUUCUUAGUUUUACUUUGGUCCAUAUCCACAUAAUACAAUUCAAUGUGUCUGUCUCUGUCUGUCUGGAAAAACAUUUUUGUAUUUUCAGACAGGGGUGCUCCCCUAGAGUGAACUAAGGAUUGGAAUAAGGUUUGGGACUUAAUUUAAAUGAAAGAGUUCUUUGGGGCUUUGUGAUUGUCCUGGAUCAAGACAAAGAUCCAGGCUUUCAAUGAAUUCCUGGACUCGACCAUUAGAAGUGUGUCUGUAUAUAGCAGAUGUGCUCAGUGCUCAG